rnacentral:rRNA from 1 species
CCUACGGGUGGCAGCAGUGGGGGAUAUUGGACAAUGGGGGAAACCCUGAUCCAGCGACGCCGCGUGAGUGAAGAAGUAUUUCGGUAUGUAAAGCUCUGUCAGCAGGGAAGAAAGAAAUGACGGUACCUGACCAAAAAGCCCCGGCUAACUACGUGCCAGCAGCCGCGGUAAUACGUAGGGGGCAAGCGUUAUCCGGAAUUACUGGGUGUAAAGGUAGCGUAGACGGUGAUGCAAGUCUGGAGUGAAAGGCGGGGGCCCAAACCCCGGACUGCUCUGGAAACUGUGUAACUUGAGUGCAGGAGAGGUAAGCGGAAUUCAUAGUGUAGCGGUGAAAUGCGUAGAUAUUAGGAGGAACACCAGUGGCGAAGGCGGCCUGCUGGACGGUAACUGACGCUGAGGCUCGAAAGCGUGGGGAGCAAACAGGAUUAGAUACCCGGGUAGUC